rnacentral:rRNA from 1 species
GGAUGUUGGCUUAGAAGCAGCCAUCAUUUAAAGAAAGCGUAAUAGCUCACUGGUCGAGUCGGCCUGCGCGGAAGAUGUAACGGGGCUAAACCAUGCACCGAAGCUGCGGCAGCGACACUAUGUGUUGUUGGGUAGGGGAGCGUUCUGUAAGCCUGCGAAGGUGUGCUGUGAGGCAUGCUGGAGGUAUCAGAAGUGCGAAUGCUGACAUAAGUAACGAUAAAGCGGGUGAAAAGCCCGCUCGCCGGAAGACCAAGGGUUCCUGUCCAACGUUAAUCGGGGCAGGGUGAGUCGACCCCUAAGGCGAGGCCGAAAGGCGUAGUCGAUGGGAAACAGGUUAAUAUUCCUGUACUUGGUGUUACUGCGAAGGGGGGACGGAGAAGGCUAUGUUAGCCGGGCGACGGUUGUCCCGGUUUAAGCAUGUAGGCU